rnacentral:rRNA from 1 species
UGGGGAAUAUUGGACAAUGGGGGCAACCCUGAUCCAGCAAUGCCGCGUGUGUGAAGAAGGUCUUCGGGAUUGUAAAGCACUUUCGACGGGGACGAUGAUGACGGUACCCGUAGAAGAAGCCCCGGCUAACUUCGUGCCAGCAGCCGCGGUAAUACGAAGGGGGCUAGCGUUGCUCGGAAUGACUGGGCGUAAAGGGCGUGUAGGCGGUUUACACAGUCAGAUGUGAAAUCCCCGGGCUUAACCUGGGAGCUGCAUUUGAUACGUGUAGACUAGAGUGUGAGAGAGGGUUGUGGAAUUCCCAGUGUAGAGGUGAAAUUCGUAGAUAUUGGGAAGAACACCGGUGGCGAAGGCGGCAACCUGGCUCAUGACUGACGCUGAGGCGCGAAAGCGUGGGGAGCAAACAGGUUAGAUACCCUGGUAGUCCACGCUGUAAACGAUGUGUGCUAGAUGUUGGGUAACUUUGUUAUUCAGUGUCGCAGU